rnacentral:rRNA from 1 species
GAAUCUUCCACAAUGGGCGAAAGCCUGAUGGAGCGACGCCGCGUGAAGGACGAAGGCCUUAGGGUCGUAAACUUCUAAAAGAGGGACGAUAAUGACGGUACCUCUUGAAAAGCACCGGCUAACUCCGUGCCAGCAGCCGCGGUAAUACGGAGGGUGCUAGCGUUAUCCGGAAUCACUGGGCGUAAAGGGCGCGUAGGCGGUCUGUUAAGUCCGAUGUUAAAGACUGGGGCUCAACCCCGGCAUUGCGUUGGAUACUGGCAGGCUGGACGGUUGGAGAGGCGAGUGGAAUUACCAGUGUAGCGGUGGAAUGCGUAGAUACUGGUAGGAACACCCAUUGCGAAGGCAGCUCGCUGGACAACACGUGACGCUGAGGCGCGAAAGUGUGGGGAGCAAACCG